rnacentral:rRNA from 1 species
UACGUAGGGUCCGAGCGUUGUCCGGAAUUAUUGGGCGUAAAGCGCACGUAGGCGGCUUUGCAAGUCGGAUGUGAAAUCCCUCGGCUUAACCAAGGAAGUGCAUCCGAAACUGCAGAGCUUGAGUACUUAAGAGGAUCGCGGAAUUCCCGGUGUAGAGGUGAAAUUCGUAGAUAUCGGGAGGAACACCAGUGGCGAAGGCGGCGAUCUGGGAAGAUACUGACGCUGAGGUGCGAAAGCGUGGGGAGCAAACAGG